rnacentral:rRNA from 1 species
CCCGCACAAGCGGUGGAGCAUGUGGUUUAAUUCGACGCAACGCGAAGAACCUUACCAGGGCUUGACAUCCCCUGACCGCGUAUGAAGUACGUUUUCACCCUCGGGUGACAGGGAGACAGGUGGUGCAUGGUUGUCGUCAGCUCGUGUCGUGAGAUGUUGGGUUAAGUCCCGCAACGAGCGCAACCCCUAUUGUUAGUUGCCAUCAUUCAGUUGGGCACUCUAGCGAGACUGCCGGUAAUAACCGGAGGAAGUGGGGAUGACGUCAAAUCAUCAUGCCCCUUAUGACCUGGGCUACACACGUGCUACAAUGGUUGGUACAACGAGUUGCGAGUCGGUGACGGCGAGCUAAUCUCUUAAAGCCAAUCUCAGUUCGGAUUGUAGGCUGCAACUCGCCUACAUGAAGUCGGAAUCGCUAGUAAUCGCGGAUCAGCACGCCGCGGUGAAUACGUUCCCGGGCCUU